rnacentral:tRNA from 1 species
GGAGAGAUGGCUCAGUGAUUGAAAGCACUGGCUGUUUAGUCCAGAGGACCUGGGUUCAAUUCCCAGGGUAUCUG